CCUACGGGAGGCAGCAGUAGGGAAUCUUCCGCAAUGGACGAAAGUCUGACGGAGCAACGCCGCGUGAGCGAAGAAGGUCUUCGGAUCGUAAAGCUCUGUUGUUAGGGAAGAACAAGUACGGGAGGAAAUGACCGUACCUUGACGGUACCUAACGAGGAAGCCACGGCUAACUACGUGCCAGCAGCCGCGGUAAUACGUAGGUGGCAAGCGUUGUCCGGAAUUAUUGGGCGUAAAGCGCGCGUAGGCGGCCCUUCAAGUCAGAGGUGAAAGGCUACGGCUCAACCGUAGUAAGCCUUUGAAACUGUAGGGCUUGAGUGCAGGAGAGGAGAGCGGAAUUCCUAGUGUAGCGGUGAAAUGCGUAGAUAUUAGGAGGAACACCAGUGGCGAAGGCGGCUCUCUGGACUGCAACUGACGCUGAGGCACGAAAGCGUGGGGAGCGAACAGGAUUAGAUACCCUAGUAGUC
rnacentral:rRNA from 1 species